GGUGUGGAUAGGGGAGAAAUUCCAAUCGAACCCGGAGAUAGCUGGUUCUCCUCGAAAUAGCUUUAGGGCUAGCCUUCAGUUAGUCUGCCGCAGGUAGAGCACUGAAUUUCCUAGGGGGCGUCAAAGCCUACCGAAGAAUAUCAAACUGCGAAUGGCGGACAGAUGAUGCCAGGGAGUCAGACUGCACGAGAUAAGUUGGGUGGUCAAAAGGGAAAGAGCCCAGACCUACAGCUAAGGUCCCAAAGUGUGUGUUAAGUGGAAAAGGAUGUGGGAUUUCGAAGACAACUAGGAUGUUGGCUCAGAAGCAGCCACACAUUAAAAGAGUGCGUAAUAGCUCACUAGUCGAGAGGUCCUGCGCCGAAAAUGUCCGGGGCUAAAACACAACACCGAAGCUUAGGAAUUCUAAUGAAUUGGUAGAGGAGCAUUGAAGACGGAACGAAGCCAUACCGAAAGGAAUGGUGGACUGUCUUGAAGAGAGAAUGCCGGAAUGAGUAGCGAGAUUGAAGUGAGAAUCUUCAAGGCCGAAUAUCUAAGGUUUCCAGGGUAAAGCUGAUCUGCCCUGGGUAAGUCGGGGCCUAAGGCAAGGUCGAAAGACGUAGUCGAUGGAUAACAGGUUGAAAUUCCUGUACUGCAUCAAAUCAGAAAUGUGGGGACACAUGAGGGAAGCAUGAGCCGGAAAAGGAAAGUCCGGUACAAGCGCAGCAGAGGACAGAUAGGCAAAUCCGUCUGUCAACUCGAGGGCGUGAUGUGGAGCGAACCAAAGUAGCGAAGCAUGUGGAGCUUGUGUCGAGAAAAGCCGCUAUUGUGUUUGAUGUACCCGUACCGUAAACCGACACAGGUGGAUGAGGAGAGAAUCCUAAGGCCGGCGGGAGAAGCAUUGUUAAGGAACUCGGCAAAAUGACCCCGUAACUUCGGGAGAAGGGGUGCUCCAGAGAUGGAGCCGCAGAGAACUGGCCCAAGCAACUGUUUAGCAAAAACACAGGUCUAUGCAAAACCGAAAGGUGAGGUAUAUGGGCUGACGCCUGCCCGGUGCUGGAAGGUUAAGAGGAGAGGUUAGCGCAAGCGAAGCUUUGAAUUUAAGCCCCAGUAAACGGCGGCCGUAACUAUAACGGUCCUAAGGUAGCGAAAUUCCUUGUCGGGUAAGUUCCGACCCGCACGAAAGGCGUAAUGAUUUGGGCACUGUCUCAACGAGAGACUCGGUGAAAUUUUAGUACCUGUGAAGAUGCAGGUUACCCGCGACAGGACGGAAAGACCCCAUGGAGCUUUACUGCAGUUUGAUAUUGAGUAUCUGUACCACAUGUACAGGAUAGGUAGGAGCCUAUGACCUCGGGACGCCAGUUUCGAGUGAGGCGUUGUUGGGAUACUACCCUUGUGUUAUGGCUACUCUAACCCAGAUAGGUUAUCCCUAUCGGAGACAGUGUCUGACGGGCAGUUUGACUGGGGCGGUCGCCUCCUAAAAGGUAACGGAGGCGCCCAAAGGUUCCCUCAGAAUGGUUGGAAAUCAUUCGCAGAGUGUAAAGGUAUAAGGGAGCUUGACUGCGAGAGUUACAACUCGAGCAGGGACGAAAGUCGGGCUUAGUGAUCCGGUGGUUCCGCAUGGAAGGGCCAUCGCUCAACGGAUAAAAGCUACCCUGGGGAUAACAGGCUUAUCUCCCCCAAGAGUUCACAUCGACGGGGAGGUUUGGCACCUCGAUGUCGGCUCGUCGCAUCCUGGGGCUGUAGUCGGUCCCAAGGGUUGGGCUGUUCGCCCAUUAAAGCGGCACGCGAGCUGGGUUCAGAACGUCGUGAGACAGUUCGGUCCCUAUCCGUCGCGGGCGUAGGAAAUUUGAGAGGAUCUGCUCCUAGUACGAGAGGACCAGAGUGGACUUACCGCUGGUGUACCAGUUGUUCUGCCAAGAGCAUCGCUGGGUAGCUAUGUAGGGAAGGGAUAAACGCUGAAAGCAUCUAAGUGUGAAGCCCACCUCAAGAUGAGAUUUCCCAUUUCU
rnacentral:rRNA from 1 species